rnacentral:rRNA from 1 species
UACGUAGGGUCCAAGCGUUAUUCGGAAUUACUGGGCGUAAAGCGUACGUAGGCGGUUUGGUAAGUUGGAUGUGAAAUCCUGUGGCUCAACCACAUGGACUGUGUCCAAAACUACCAAACUUGAGCAUAGUAGAGGCAAGUGGAAUUUGCGGUGUAGGAGUGACAUCCGUAGAUAUCGCAAGGAACACCAAUGGCGAAGGCAGCUUGCUGGGCUAUUGCUGACGCUCAGGUACGAAAGCGUGGGGAGCGAACGGGAUUAGAUACCCCGGUAGUCCACGCCGUAAACGAUGAUCACUAACAGUAUGGAGAUUCGACCCUCUGUGUUGUAAAGCUAACGCGUUAAGUGAUCCGCCUGGGGAGUACGGGCGCAAGCUUAAA